CAAACAAUCACAUCCUCAAGAUGACCGAGACUGGACCUUGAGGACCAACCCGUGUCACCACUGGGGUUUUCCGGGAACACCCUGGCCCGCAGCUCGAGCCGCGGCCAACACACCUGGCAAGCAAAUGCUUCGAGACCAUUUGCCGAAGUCCCUUUACCUUCCCGUGAUAGAGCACUCUUUGCCCAAACAUCCCACCUGUCAAAGCUCAUGCUCCUUGGAACCUGGAUUCUGCACCAUGCCUGGGUGUCCUUGGAAUGACCCCAGUUUCAUGCACAAGGAAAGUAAGGCUCAGCAAAGUUGAGUAACUCGUCCAAGUUGGCGCAGCUCCUGAGUGCCGGGGCUCACAUCCCAUCCCUGCUCUACUGACCAGAGAACCCGGUGCGCUCCUCGCAGACCCCGCAGACGGAAUGUUUGAGUCCCUCCCUUCAAGUCUGUGUGUUGAAACACGAACCCCAGUGUGAUGGUAUUUGCAGGCGAGGUCUUCAGGAAGUGACUAGGUGACAAAGGGACUAGCGACCUGAUAAAGGGGACCCCAGAGAGUUCCCUCACCCCUUCCGCCAUGCGAAGACCCAGCGGGAAGACCUCAUCUGUGAACCCAGAUGCAGCUCCCACCAGACACCCCAUCUGCAGGCACCUUGACCUUGGACUCCCAGCCUCCAGCACGUGAGAAAUUAGUGUUUGCUGUGUCAGCCCCCACAGCCCAGUCUGUGGUAUUUUGGUGUAGCGGCCUGAACGGAUUAAGAUAACUCCCCGGGUAGAGCUGAACUCCUUAUCCUCCCAGAAACACAUGGAAUAAGGCAACCUUCUUGUGUAGAAAUGUCUACGGCUUUCCAUGAAAUGGUGACAAAAUCGCCGGAUUAGAAGCUGCCAGGUGGAGGUGUUCAGAGGACCACCUGUUGAUUUCCUGGUUUCUCAAGAUGCCACCCCUUCCUCUGUGCAUAUGGGUAUGUUACUUAUCAGCAGCUCAGGUUCCCUCUAUGCGGUGUUAGGACUUCUGCCUGCCUUUUCUCUUAGGUAUCC